GUUCUUGUAGUUGAAGUACAACGGUGGUUUUUCAAGCCAUUAGUCUUGGUUAAAGCCCGAGCAGAAAUU
rnacentral:tRNA from 1 species